AUUGAACGCUGGCGGCAGGCCUAACACAUGCAAGUCGAACGGUAGCACAGAGAGCUUGCUCUCGGGUGACGAGUGGCGGACGGGUGAGUAAUGUCUGAGAAACUGCCCGAUGGAGGGGGAUAACUACUGGAAACGGUAGCUAAUACCGCAUAACGUCGCAAGACCAAAGUGGGGGACCUUCGGGCCUCACACCAUCGGAUGUGCCCAGGUGGGAUUAGCUGGUAGGUGGGGUAAUGGCUCACCUAGGCGACGAUCCCUAGCUGGCUUGAGAGGAUGACCAGCAACACUGGAACUGAGACACGGUCCAGACUCCUACGGGAGGCAGCAGUGGGGAAGAUUGCACAAUGGGCGCAAGCCUGAUGCAGCCAUGCCGCGUGUAUGAAGAAGGCCUUCGGGUUGUAAAGUACUUUCAGCGGGGAGGAAGGCGGUGAAGUUAAUAGCUUCACCGAUUGACGUUACCCGCAGAAGAAGCACCGGCUAACUCCGUGCCAGCCGCCGCAGUAA
rnacentral:rRNA from 1 species